CCUACGGGAGGCAGCAGUGGGGAAUAUUGCACAAUGGGGGAAACCCUGAUGCAGCGACGCCGCGUGAGUGAAGAAGGAUUUCGGGAUGUAAAGCUCUAUCAGCAGGGAAGAAAAUGACGGUAACUGAUUAAGAAGCCCCGGCUAACUACGUGCCAGCAGCUGCGGUAAUACGGAGGGGGGAAGCGUUAACCGGAUUUACUGGGUGUAAAGGGAGCGUAGACGGGAGCACAAGGCCGGAUUGAAAUGCCGGGGCUUAACCCCGGAACUGCUUUUGAACCUGUGCAGCUAGAGUGCAGGAGAGGUAAGUGGAAUUCCUAGUGUAGCGGUUAAAUGCGUAGAUAUUAGGAGGAACACCAGUGGCGAAGGCGGCUUACUGGACUGUAACUGACGUUGCGGCUCGAAAGCGUGGGGAGCAAACAGGAUUAGAUACCCGAGUAGUC
rnacentral:rRNA from 1 species